GACGAACGCUGGCGGCGUGCUUAACACAUGCAAGUCGAACGGUAAGGCCCUUCGGGGUACCCGAGUGGCGAACGGGUGAGUAACGCGUGAGUAACCUGCCCUUCACUCUGGGAUAACAGUUGGAAACGGCUGCUAAUACCGGAUAUUCCGCUCCUGUCGCAUGGUGGGGGUUGGCAAGUUUUGGUGGUGGAGGAUGGGCUCGCGUCCUCUCAGCUUGCUGGUGGGGUGAUGGCCUACCAAGGCGUCGACGGGUAGCCGGCCUGUGAGGGCGACCGGCCACAUUGGGACUGGGAUACGGCCCAAACUCGUACGGGAGGCAGCAGUGGGGAAUAUUGCACAGUGGGCGGAAGCCUGAUGCAGCAACGCCGCGUGCGGGAUGACGGCCUUCGGGUUGUAAACCGCUUUCAGCAGGGACGAAGCGCAAGUGACGGUACCUGCAGAAGAAGCACCGGCUAACUACGUG
rnacentral:rRNA from 1 species